rnacentral:misc_RNA from 1 species
CCAUGCAUUUAAACCUUAUAUUAGUAUAAGCAUUUCAGACUCUCAAAUAAUAAAGGUGGAAAAAUGGUUAAACCAAGAUGAUUAAACAAACUUAAACAUAAAACAAAAAAAAAGAAGGCAAACUUCAUCUCAGACACCAUAGAAAAACCAUUGGGAAACAAGGGUUUUUCACUUAUUGACCUAAUGCUAAGUGGUACUGCUAGUGUGGGAACACGAUCACUCUUCAUCAAGAAGCAAGAAUAAGUUAUCGACCUUCAACAUCCAAUUUAUAGUAUGGAGAAUCAUCCAGUUUCUGGCAAGCGCCAUCUACUCCACACACUUGAAUAAUGAACUUGACACUAGAAGUGCUUGAGGGAAUGGAAAGAUUAUCAACAUAAAAAGCUUCAACAUAUGCUACUCCAAUAUACUCCUGAGUCCCUUCAACUCUUCCACCUGAAUUUCCAGCAGCUGUUUUCACUAGCUUCUCAACAUAAAUAUUGUACUUGGAAGAUUGAAAAUUACUUCCAUCCUCCAACUUCCAAGUGAUUUUAACACUCAGGUUGUUGGAACCCUGAGAACCUGGACUCCACUUAAUAUACUGACCCUCAACUAGCCAUGAACUGGAUGCAGGAAAAACUGGAUUAUCUUUAAAAGUCUUGACUGUGAUAUGACCAAGCGCUGCAAAAUACUCUGAUGGAUUCUGAGCUAAUGUAACGUUAUGUCCAUCUGAUUUGUUUUCUAAUCUUAGCCUGCCAAUUUCAGGCUUUGGCUUGUAACAUACAGCAUGGAUUUCUGUCAAUAUGUAUCCAUUCAUUUCAAUGCUACUCUCUUGUAUGACCCAUCCUGGAGCCAAUUCUUGCUUGUUAACCCUAUUUGGUACAAUCACUUGGCUGAACUUGUUUGAUAAUUGAUUAGUUUCCCAAGGUGCAAUAAGAACUGAUAUUCUUUCAUUCAGGGUGGAAGAGAACUGAAGAGAUAGGCCAAGCAUAGAACCUCCAUCUGAUUUUACCUGCAUUACAGUUGAUUGAAGACUUUACAGGUAAGCGAAAUUGAUUCACAGCUUCUAAGAAAAAGAGUAGAAGACUACUGAUGAGCUUUGACCUAAUGAUACUAGAGUUAUCUUCAGGGCAGCGAUGUUUCGAUUUUAAGCCCCAUUCAAAGCCUAAUCAAACAAAAAACAAAACAAAGGGGAGAAAAAAAGAGUAGAAGGCAUGAAGCAAGGAGAGACAGCUUACAGAAUAUGUUAUGUGGAGAGGCAAUUCACCUAGAAGCAAUUUUCCCUGAAAUAGUCUUGCUGUCAAGUCAUUGUUGUCUUUCAGAGUUCCUUUAAAUGUGAUGUUUACUCCUCCUCCAUAAGAUGCUUCCUUAAAACUACCAUUUGCAGAUAUAUCAUAAAUGUUUAAUUCAGAUAACUGUAUUCCAAUAGUUAUAAAACUAUAAUAUCAAGGUCUAUCAAGCUGUUUACUGGAAAUGGUUUUGUAUAGAAUGCCAUAUUUCAACUGAACAGAAGAUACAUAUCACUAUUACACGUACUUGACAAGAACUUGAAUGGAAUCUGUAGUUGGAUUGUCUUUAUAUUCAAGAAAAGGCUGAAAGCCUUGGGAAGAUAUAUUAUUCCAAGGAGCACUUGAGACUUGCCCUCCUUCAACAGAAAUAUGAUAUCCAUGGCCCUGAUCAAAGUUUGAGUAGAAGGGUAAUGAAUUAGGAUAAGAUUUUACUACUCCCCAUGAUUUUUCGACUAGGCCCCACCACCGAUUUUGAGCAGUCCGAAAAUCAGGCGCUUCUUUAGUCUCGUAGAGCCACCCAGGAGCAAAGAUGGCUGCGGACAUAUUAUCAUUCUUUAGCACCUCAAGUGCCACAUUUGUAUUCCAUUGUCCACCGCCAUAAGUAUUCCUUCCAAAUACAUCUAUUCCCAUGUAGACAUCAAACUUUCUAUCACCAGCAACAGCAGCUGAAAGUUCUGGAUUGUUUCUCUUCCAUGUGUAGUUUACAAAUAUGCCAUCACAUAAAUCAAAGAAAGGUUUAUUUUUUUGACUUAGUUGGUCUUGCCACUCAAGCUUUCCAUCUAUUGUAAUAGCAUCAUACCAAAUUACUAAAGAUCCAGGCAAUGAGCUAUGCAUAGUCUGGGUUAGAUGACUGACAAAUUCCUUCAGAUUAGAAAUUUGCUCUACUUCCAAAUUAAUCUCCAUAUUUAUCUGCAAAAUGGUGAUUACUAGAAGCAUGUGUAAUAGAUAUUAUACUCCCAUAAAACACAGAAAUAGAAAGAAAGACACAUCUCAUAUCUCUUCCACUUUUCCUCAGGAAAAGCUUGCAAGAUGCUGCCAACCAUAAAGCUUUACUUAUUCUAUCAUUUCUUCUAUUCCAUUAUCAGUGUCGAAAUUCAAAGCAAGUGAAACAUUAAUAUUGUCUAAGAAGGAAAAUUACAGUACUCAGAACUAAUCACCAUUAUUGCUUUCUAAAAAGAAAAUUUUGUUUUAAAUAAAUCUUCUUCUUCUUCUUACUCUUCAUCUUCCUUUCUUAUUAUUAUCUUAACCGUGUAGUUGCUAGGCAUAAAGCAUAAUGCCACAAAGCAUACACGCAGACAAAACCCAUUUAGCUUGGACUAGGCUUAACUGAGGGUUUUCUUAAUCUGUUACUUUCAUCUCUAUUUCCUCGAGUGUUUCAAGUUUGAUUAUGGCAAAUUCAACAACAAAUACCCUAAAGAGUGCAGAGUCCAUUGAAUAUUUGUGCACUACAUGCGCAUGAUUGUGAAAAUUAUCUAUGAAAGGAAUUACUACUGUCCUAGAAAUGAGACUCUUGUCAAGAUAAGUCAUUCAAAAUGAAAUGUCCAAAAAACUUAUUGAAGUACUGAUCAAAUCUAAACUCAGACUGGAAGUAUCAAGACUUAAGAUCAGAAAACUACAUACCAGCCAUCCAUCAAAGCCCAAAGCAACAGCAAGCUCAGCCAAACGCUCAGCAUACAUUCGAGCAGACUCCUCUGUUUCAAGCAAUUUAUCACAAAUACGCCUCCCGUCAUCCCACUCUGUAAUGAAAGUCCCCAACACCUUAACACCGUGUCUAUGAGCUGUAUUGGUCCAGCAUGGAGGAGGCAAGGUAACCAAAUAAUGGGAGAAGUAAACAAAAACAUCAAUCAAAUACCAAUGCCAAAUUGCAUAAGCACUCUCAUUAUUCCCUCCCUGGACCCACUUAUCAUCCACAUAACCUCCUUGCAUAUCAUGGCACACAAGAAUUCUAGGCCUGUUAUCUAAAACAGAGCUUUUAAGAGGAACGGAGGACUUGUUAAAAGGGUAGUGAAAGGAAUUGAAGUAAGCUUGAGACUCGAGUUCUUGGAGGGUUUUCAAAGGGUAGGAGAUGGGAAUAGAGGGCUGUAAUGGAUCAAAUGGAGGAGGGUCAAGUGUGGAUAGAGCUUCAUUUCUUGGAAACAUGAUAAGGAGACAAGUAGGUUAUGGGAAGAGCAAAUUACAAAGGUAGAGAGACCAAAAGCAUGUGAUCUAUAUAUAAGGAGAGAAGUGGCUGUUAACAUUGACAAUGGAAGAUGCGACGAAGGUGAACAGCUAUU